CCUUAGAUGUUCUGGGCCGCACGCGCGCUACACUGACGGAGCCAGCGAGUACUCCCUUGGCCGAAAGGCCUGGGUAAUCUUGUUAAACUCCGUCGUGCUGGGGAUAGAGCAUUGCAAUUAUUGCUCUUCAACGAGGAAUCCCUAGUAAGCGCAAGUCAUCAGCUUGCGUUGAUUACGUCCCUGCCCUUUGUACACACCGCCCGUCGCUACUACCGAUUGAAUGGCUCAGUGAGGCGUCCGGACUGGCCCAGACAGGUGGGCAACUACCAGUCAGGGCCGGAAAGCUCUCCAAACUCGGUCAUUUAGAGGAAGUAAAAGUCGUAACAAGGUCUCCGUAGGUGAACCUGCG
rnacentral:rRNA from 1 species